rnacentral:rRNA from 1 species
CAGCAGCCGCGGUAAUACCGAGGGUGCGAGCGUUAAUCGGAUUUACUGGGCGUAAAGCGUGCGUAGGCGGCUAAUUGAGUCGGAUGUGAAAUCCCCGAGCUUAACUUGGGAAUUGCAUUCGAUACUGGUUAGCUAGAGUGUGGGAGAGGAUGGUAGAAUUCCAGGUGUAUCGGUGAAAUGCGUAGAGAUCUGGAGGAAUACCGAUGGCGAAGGCAGCCAUCUGGCCUAAUACUGACGCUGAGGUACGAAAGCAUGGGGAGCAAACAGGAUUAGAUACCCCAGUAGUCCCUGUCUCUUAUAA